rnacentral:rRNA from 1 species
UACAGAGGGUGCGAGCGUUAAUCGGAAUUACUGGGCGUAAAGCGUGCGUAGACGGUAGCGUAAGUCAGAUGUGAAAGCCCCGGGCUCAACCUGGGAAUUGCAUUUGAGACUGCUCUGCUCGGGUGCGGAAGAGGGAAGCGGAAUUUCCGGUGUAGCGGUGAAAUGCGUAGAGAUCCGGAGGAACACCGACGGCGUAGGCAGCGCCCUAGACGAGACCUGACGCUCAGGCACGAAAGCGCGGGGAGCGAACAGG